UUCUAUAUACAGGUUCCAUAUGAGCACAAUUAAGUCUUCUAGAAUUCCGAUUCUUCACAAUGUUAACCAUAAUUUCUUAUGAUCCAUAUGGUGGAAUGCCUUUGCAUAGUCAAUAAAACACAGGUAAACACCUUUCUGGUAUUCUCUGCUUCUAACCAAGAUCCACCUGACAUCAACAACGAUAUCCCAUGUUCCACCUCCUCUUGAAUUUUCUGACAGUUCCCUGUCAAUGUACUGAUGCAAUCGUUUUUGAAUUCCAAUUGAGAUAUUUCAGCAAACAGAUGUAAUGCUUGAGGUGCUCACUCAUCUAUGUCAAGAAAUUUGGAAGACAGCUGCCUGGCCAACCAACUGAAAGAGAUCCAUAUUUCUGCCUAUUUCAAAGAAAGGUAAUCCAACAGAAUGCAGAAAUUAUCUAACAAUGUCAUUAAUGUCAUAGGCAAGUCUGACUCACAGCUAUUUUAAAGUCAUCACACAAGUAGAUACCAGGGAUUCCUUGAAAAGGCACACUGACAUUAAUCUAUUUUGCUACCAUCUCUAUGUUUUUUCUCUCUCAAUAAGGUUUAAGACCAUCAGGAUAAAGAAUAAAAUAAGAAAAUACAAAUAAAAUGAAUACAAAUAAAAAAAUUAAAAAUUACUAGCUUCUUAUUGAAAAUAAAAUUUUUUGAAAGAAUACAGACAUGGUAGUUGAAGUUUUGAAAAUUCAAAAAAUUUCUGAAAUAGAAAGCUGUAAGUAUUGGGCCCUAGAAAAGUCUAAAUACAAGAUGGGAAUGAGAAAGAGAAAGAGGAGCCUGUGAAGCAAAAAAGGAAUUCAAACAGGUCUUGAAAACAACUAGAACAGAGUGGAAUCAAGGAUUCUAACAGAGGAGAAUAUUUAAAUAAAUAUUGUUGAGAGUGUAAUAUAUGCCAGGGUAGUACAAGUGGUUUGCAUCCAGUUGCAAACCUUGAGGUUAACUGUUCAAACUCACCCAGUGGAACCAUGGAAGAAAGGCCUGUUGAUUCACCUCCUUAAAGAUUACAGCCAAGGAAACUCUAUGAAGUAGUUCUACUCUGUAACAUAUGGGGUCGCCAUGAGUCGGGUCCAUCUUGACAGCAAGGAAAAACAAAAAUAACAUAUAUGCUAGGCUCUGGAAAAACAAGGUGAUACAACACAUUCUCUGCCUUUAGGAGAAUCCAAUAUCAUGACAAAUUUUUAUAGUAGAAAUGCAUGCAGGGGAAGGGUUAUAAUCCUCUUUGGGAAUGGAUUGUAUUUGUUAUGUUAAUGAAAUGGAAUUAGUGUAGGUUGUGUCUUGAGUCAAUCUCUUACAAGAUAUAUAAAGAGCAGAUUAAAAGCAAGCAGAGAUAGGGGAAGAGAGAUGCCAAGCCACAUGAAGACUGACCAGAAGCAGAACCUCAGGAAAGACAAGGACCUUCGUCUAGAGCUGACAGAGAGAAAGACUUCCCCUAGAGACAACAACACCCUGAAUUCGGACUUCUAGCCUACUAAACUAAGAAAAAAUAAAUUUCUGUUUGUUAAAGCCAUUCUCUUGUGGUAUUUCUGUUAUAGCAGCACUAGAUAACUAAGACAAUUGCUGAGUCAGAAUUAACUCAACAGCAAAAGGUUUUUUUUUGUUUUUGUUUUUAAGGGUGCGAAGGAGGCCGGAGGGGGAAGAAUGAGACUAGGUUUACGACUUGUACAAUGGAGUGAAUAUUGAAAAUUAGGGAAAAGUUCAGAAAAAUAAUAAUUGAGUUUUAUGAAUUUUAAGGGAGUCCUCAGUCCCAAAUGAGUGAGAGAGAGCAAAAAAAUUAAAACAGAAUUUUGGCAAUGAAGAAAUCAUUGGUAUAACAGGGAUAACAGCAGGGGUGGAGGAUAGGUCUCAUGUGACAUUAAUAGUAAAUAAAUACUGGUGACUAUUGGUGGCUGCUCCUCUUCCCACCUUCAUUUCCAUCUUGCACAAUGAAGGGCCUGACCAGACAUGUGUAGACACCACAGCCCAUACCACCAAGCCUGGUCCACAUCCCUCACAGAAAGCUACCCCUGGCCACCUCUCAGACCUAGAGGUACACACUCCAGCAGCAGCAUGGUGCUACAUCUCAGGAUACAGACCAGGGGGUUAUUUCUGCACAGACCUUGGAAGCAGGCUUGGAGUCAUUUGGGUAAAGAAUUUCAGAGUCUUGGAAUCUUGGAUAAGAGAGUAUCAUAAACUCUGGGUAGUGCAUCCGUAUGGCCUUGAAGACUCCUUGUCCAGUGUGAAUAAGAACAGAUGGAGGAGAGCAAGAACAAGCAUGGAUUAUAGGAGGAACUCCGGAAUUCACAUUCUCAAAUACCACAGAAAGAAAAGAAAGAAGCCUCCCUCCCCAGAAGUCCCAAGCAAGCCCAAUUGUUUCUUAUUCUAUAUAAGUGGUUAAAGGCUCAUCCCAUGGUGGGCAUCAAUCACUGUGGCCAGGAGGAACGUGAUGGGUUAUUGACUUCACCUGAUCAUGUGCCCUAGCCUGGGAAGAAGGUAAACCCCAUGGUCUGAGAAAGGAGGAAGAAUGGAUGUUAACCAUGGUAAGAUGAAAGGAUGCUAAAGGAAAGAUAUUGACAUCAGAACUGACCCCUCUGAAGCAGUAAGUAUUGUCACGAAAACCAGGUUCAACAAAGCCCUUUCAUUGAAGUUUCAAAGUGCUUCUAGAAAUGACUCCAUUGUCCCCAGUGUCUCAACUUACUGUUGGAAAAGAACAUAUUUUUACAAGUAUAGAAUGUGUACCUUAAGCCAGUACCUGGAUGUAUUAUUUAAUGUACUUAAUAUACAAUUUGUUUCUUAGUAUCCUGAAGUCCCGUUAAAUUUGAGUGGAAUAUUUCCCUUUUAUUAUCUCAUGGCUCUUCAGUCCACUUGAUUCUUAUCCUACUGACUUGAAAAGAUGGAAAGUAUAAUGGAGAUAAUAAAAAUAAGUCUCAGAAAACCUGAUUCAAGCUUGGCCCUGCAGAUAACUUUUUUUUUAAUUAUUAAGUCACUAACUCCCUCUCCUCCUAUUCCUCCCACUUUCUUCCCCAGAAGCCUUUUAUUUCCUUUGUCCGAACUUCUUUUUGACUGGCUUUUUCCAUGAUUGUCUCCCUCUCUUCAUUCUCAUUUCAGUUUAUAUGCCACCUCCUCAGAAAGGUUUUCUUAAUCUCCCCUCCAUAAAAUUGGGACGUUCUAUCAUUGUCUACCACAGUGUCCAGUUUAUUUCCUUCACAGAAAUAAUCGUAAUCUGUUUUUGUUUAAUUCUACUUUUUUAUCUUCCGUCUCCUCUUUAGAAUGCCUAGUUUGUAAACUCAAGUGAAUUUUCUCCUUUGUUAUCAGUUGUAAGCCAGAGUUAAGCAGCAUAUUGUAUAUAAUUUCUCUCACCAUAUGUGUCAAAUGGGAGCCAUGGUGGCGUAGUGGUUAAGCCUUCAGCUGCUAAUCAAGAGAUCGGCAGUUUGAAUCUAUCAGGCGCUCCUUGGAAACCCUAUAGGGCAGGUCUACUCUGUCCUAGAGGGUCACUAUGAGUUGCAGCCAACUGGAUGGCAAUGGGUGGGGUUUCAUGCAUUGAAUGAUUAUAGAGAGGAAAGGAGGGAUAUAAGCUCACUUAAAGCAAAGGUUAGCUCUUUAAUUUCUAUGUAUCGCAACCCUCUAGCUCAGUACCUAACAUAGUGUAGGUACUCAACAAAUAUUGGUUGAGUGAAUGAAUAUGUGAUCAGAGAAGUGUCUGCAAAUAUCAAUAAUUUCACUCCUAGCAGGAGACAGAAGAAGUAGCAAAGACCAGAAAGUCAUGGGAAAUAAAGUUGGCGUAUUCACCAACCACAAGUACUUUUUUGAUUUUGGUUGAUAUUUGUAACCGGGAAGUAAUACCACCUAAUGUGCACAUGGCUGAAACUAAAGUCUGGUUUCAUUUCUCCUCUCCAGGCAGCAUAGUCCCAAGGCUUUUCCCUGGUCUUUCCAAACAUACCAUACAGAUGCUUUGCCAAAAUUACGUGUAUAAAAAAUUCUUGCAGUGAAAAAAUUAUCUAAUUUUCUCCAAAGUUUCUGUUUUUAUCAACCUGUGCUAUUAGGCUCAAUAACCUCUUUGUGGUGCUCAUGGAGAUCACCCUCAGGAAGAGCAGGCAGAUACUUAGAAAAACCAUGGUUUUUUCACCACACUGGACUACUUUCCUACUGCCUGUGACCAAUGACCACCCUCAGAUAUACAACAAUUUUUCCUCAUGCCAUACAAUUCAUUUUUUCCAUUUUUCAUUUCGAACCAAAUCCCCAACUUUAUUGUCAGGAUAAAAGAUAUACAUAGAUGAAUUGUAUUUAAAAAUUGAGGCCUUGGGCCCAAUUUCUAGGGUCCUUGUCUGACUCCCCUGAUUACACAUGCGAUGUUGAGCAAGAUGUUUAACCUCUUUAGGAUACCUACUGAUAACACGAACAUAAUAAUAUUUACCUCGUGGGUUUUUUGUUUGAAAUAAAUGAAAUAAUUCAUAUAAAGUACUUUUCGUAGUAAAAGUACUUUUCGUAGUACUUUUCUAGAAAAUAGAAAAGGCUUGAUAGUACUGGAUAUGAGCUCUCAUUAUUAUCAACCUCAUAUUUAAUUUUCAGUUGGUAAAGGAAACUUUCAAGUAUUUGAAACAAAUGGUGGGGGUAGUGGGAAUACUUGCCUCUUUCUUCAUGGUUAUUUGGAAACUAUGAAUACUAGUAUUACUCUUUGCUGAUAGAAAAGGAUGAUAAAAGGGAACAUAAGAUGCUUCUUUCUUCUCCGUAACAUGUGGGAAUUCCCCGGGAAUGAUAACAGGGCAAGAUUUUCUUCCUUCCCUAACUAGGAAAGACUUCUUCACAGUUGUAUUGAGGGGAACCCAGUGUCUCCUCUGUUUUUGCUGAGUCAUUCUCUUGUAAUUUUUUUUAUUAUUAUCUACACACCUUUCAAAACACAUUUUGCAUCAACAGUUAGGUGACAUUGUCACUGAAAUAAAUUGGAGUAAGGAGAAUUACAACACAAUGGAAGAGAGAAAUCUGUAUAUAAAGCAGCAUUUGAACAAUUCAUUAGAAAAGUCAUUGUUGUAUCAACCUAACACAUGUGUAUGUGCCCACACAUGUGCAUUGAAUAUGCUGAAGAAAGUCUAAAGGCCAAGAUAGAUAAAAACAUACUUUCUAUAAUACGUCCCAAAAUGUCUCAAUCACAUUUUUGCUUGAAAAAAGUAAUUUUUGCUUGAGCCCAAGCAAUGUGUUUUUGAAAUUACCACCCAAAAUGCUCUAUCUCCUUACCCUGCUUGAAAUAUCUAUUAUUGUAUUACAGAUUUUUUAGCUUAUUAAUUAUUUAUUUUACUGGAAUCGAAACCUUGUGUAAGCAAGGAAUUUGUCUGUCUUGUGUACAGAUAGGAGCCUCGGUGGCUGUUAACAAAAAGGUCAGCAGUUUGAGUCCACGAGCCACUCCUUGGAACCUUAUGGGGCAGUUCCACUCUGUCCUACAGGGUCACUAUGAGUUGGAAUUAACUCGACAGCAAUGGGUUUGGUUAUUGGUUUGGUUUUGUAUAUAAAUAAAUAUCUAGCACACUGUAGUUUCUCAAUAAAUAUUUGUAGAAUUGAUGAAUAUCCCAUAGAAUCUGUAAAAAAUAUUGAGGCAACAUGUAUUUAUAUGCACAGUACACAUUUUAACCAAAUCAUCAGCUGAACUCAGUAUAAGCAAUAGUGUGUUGCUGUUGCUGUUGUUGUUAGGUGCUGUCAAGUCAGUUCCAACUCAUAGCAACCCUAUGCACAACGGAACAAAACAUCACCAGGUCCUGAACCAUCCUCACAAUUGUUGGAUGCUUGAGACCAUUGUUGCAGCCACUGUGUCAAUCCAUCUCGUUGAGGGUCUUCCUCUUUUUUUUGCUGACCCUCUACUUUACCAAGCAUGAUGUCCUUCUCCAGGGACUUAUCCCUCCUGACAACAUGUCCAAAAUAUGUGAGAAGAAGUCUUGCCAUCCUUGCUUCUAAGGAGCAUUCUGGUUGUACUUCUUCCAAGACACAUUUGUUCAUUCUUUUGGCAGUUCAUGGUGUAUUCAUAUUCUUCGCCAACACUACAAUUCAAAGGUGUCAAUUGUUCCUCAGUCUUCCUGAUUCAUUGUCUAGCUUUCACAUGCAUAUGAGGCCAUUUAAAACACCAUGGCUUGGGUCAGGCUCACCUUAGUCCUCAGGAUGAUAUCUUUUCUUUUGAACUUUUUAUAGAGAUCUCUUGUAACAGAUUUGCCCAAUGCAAUGCGUCUUGAUUUCUUGACUGCUUCUUCCAUGGGUGUUGAUUGUGGAUCCAAGUAAAAUGAAAUCCUUGACAACUUCAAUCUUUUCUCCAUUUAUCAUGUUACUGAUUGGUCCAGUUGUGAGGACUUUUGUUUUCUUUAUGUUGACAUGUAAUCCAUAGUGAAGGCUGUGGUCUCUGAUCUUCAAUAGUAAGUGCUGCAAGUCCUCUUCACUUUCAGCAAGCAAGGUUGUGUCAUCUGCCUAACACAGGUAGUUAAUGAGUCUUCUCCAAUCUUGAGGCCGUUCUUCUUAAUGUAGUCCAGCUUCUUCGAUUAUUUUGCUCAGCGUACAGAUUAAAUAGGUAUGGUGAAAGGAUACAACCCUGACAUACACCUUUCCUGACUUGAAACCAUGCAGUAUCCCCUUGUUCUGAUUGAUGAACUUCCUCUUAAUCCAUGUACAGAUUUCUCAUGAGCACAAUUAAGUGUUCCGGAAUUCCUGUUCUCCAAAAUAUUCUCCAUAAUUUGUUAUAGUCCACACAGUUGAAUGCCUUAGCAUAGUCAAUAAAACACAGGUAAUAUCUUCCUGGUAUUCUCUGCUUUCAGCCAGGAUCCAUCUGACAUCAACAAUGAUAUCCCUGGUUUCACAUCCUUUUCUAAAUCUGGCUUGAAUUUCUGACAUUUCCCUGUCGAUACACUGCAAUAGCCACUUUUGAAUGAUCUUCACCAAAAUUUUGCUUGCAUGUGAUAUUAAUGAUAUUGUUCAAUAAUUCCCACUUUGAUUGGAUCACCUUUCUUGGAAAUAGGCAUAGAUACGGAUCUCUUCUGGUUGUUUGGCCAGGUAGCUCUCUUCCAAAUUUCUUGACAUAGAUGAGUGAGCACUUUCAGCACUGCAUCUGUUUGUUGAAACCUUUCAGUUGGUAUUGCCUCAAUUCCCAGAGCCUUGUUUUUUACACAUGGCUUCAGUGCAGCUUGGACUUCUUCCUUCAGUACCAUCGGUUCCUGAUCAUAUCUUACCUCAUGAAAUGGCUGAACGUUGACCAAUUCUUUUUGUAUAGUGACUCUGUGUAUUCCUUCCAUCUUUUGAUGCUUUCUGUGCCAUUUAAUAUUUUUCCCACAGAACCUUCAGUAUUGCAACUUGAGGCUUGAAUUUUUUCUUCAGUUCUUUCAGCUUGAGAAAUGCUGCGUGUGUUCUUCCCUUUUGGUUUUCUUUCUCCAGGUCUUUGCAUAUAUCAUGGUAAUACUUUCACUUUGUCUUCUUGAGGCACCCUUUGAAAUCUGUUCAGCUAUAUUACUUCA